CCUACGGGAGGCAGCAGUCGAGAAUCAUUCACAAUGGGGGAAACCCUGAUGGUGCGACACCGCGUGGGGGAAUGAAGGUCUUCGGAUUGUAAACCCCUGUCAUGUGGGAGCAAAUUAAAAAGAUAGUACCACAAGAGGAAGAGACGGCUAACUCUGUGCCAGCAGCCGCGGUAAGACAGAGGUCUCAAGCGUUGUUCGGAAUCACUGGGCGUAAAGCGUGCGUAGGCUGUUUCGUAAGUCGUGUGUGAAAGGCGCGGGCUCAACCCGCGGACGGCACAUGAUACUGCGAGACUAGAGUAAUGGAGGGGGAACCGGAAUUCUCGGUGUAGCAGUGAAAUGCGUAGAUAUCGAGAGGAACACUCGUGGCGAAGGCGGGUUCCUGGACAUUAACUGACGCUGAGGCACGAAGGCCAGGGGAGCGAAAGGGAUUAGAUACCCCUGUAGUC
rnacentral:rRNA from 1 species